rnacentral:tRNA from 1 species
GCGGUUGUGUCUCAGCGGUAGAGUGCAUGUGCAGCAAGUGUGAGGCCCUGGGUUCAAUCCUCAGCACCACA